rnacentral:ncRNA from 1 species
ACCAGGUGGUCAUGAAUGUCAAAGUGAAGAAAUUCAAUUAAGCGCGGGUAAACGGUGAGAGUAACUAUAAAUCUCUUAUUGGCCUUCGCAU